GUCUACAGCCAUACCACCCUGAAUGCACCUGAUCUCAUCUGAUCUCAGAAGCUAAGCAGGGUUGGGCUGGGUUAGUACUUGGAUGGAAGAAACCAACUGAGUUCCAUUUCUGCAAGUC
rnacentral:rRNA from 1 species